rnacentral:tRNA from 1 species
UAGAUCUGUUGGUAGAGCAUGAGACUCAUAAUCUCAGGGUAGUGGGUUCGUGUCCCAC